UACGAAGGGGGCUAGCGUUGUUCGGAAUUACUGGGCGUAAAGCGCACGUAGGCGGAUUGUUAAGUUAGGGGUGAAAUCCCAGGGCUCAACCCUGGAACUGCCUUUAAUACUGGCAAUCUCGAGUCCGAGAGAGGUGAGUGGAAUUCCGAGUGUAGAGGUGAAAUUCGUAGAUAUUCGGAGGAACACCAGUGGCGAAGGCGGUCUGCUGGGCCGUUGCUGACGCUGAGGCGCGACAGCGUGGGGAGCAAACAGG
rnacentral:rRNA from 1 species